AUGGAAGGACCCCCUGACUAAUGAAUGGAAGGGUCCAGAUCCAGUUCUAAUUUGGGGUAGGGGCUCAGUUUGUGUUUUUUCACGAGAUGAAGAUGGAGCGUGGUGGCUGCCAGAGAGAUUAAUUCGUCAGAUGAACACAGAUUCUGACUCUUCUGGUAAGUAUCAUUCGAAAGACUAAAAUUCCUUUUGUGCUUAGAAUUCAGCUGAGAGCUAAAGCUCCCAAAGCUGUUUUCCAGCUACUCUCUGAGCCAGCUCCCGACAGGAGGCCGGAGACUAGCCUCAGCUUUACAAUUUGCAUUUGAAUAAAGUACCUAGACUUCCCUGAAAGAAGUUCUGCUUUCCUACUUUCUCACUGUCUUUCAAGAUUUUGUCUUUCAAGCAGGUAAAUCAACACUCUCGAAGCGGACCAGCGGAUGUGCAUCCCCGCCCCCCUAGAGCACACAGGUGGCUGCUGUUAUCUUCUUUCCAAGGACAUUUCCAGCACGUGGCUUUCAGUCUGAGUUAAAAAUUAGGUUUACCUAGAGGGCUAGAAGAGUAGAUAUUUCUAUAUUAAUAAAGAUUGGUUUUUAUUUUGAUAGACAGGCUUAGCCCCUUAGCUGACCUCUGGCUUUUCACCCUUGCUGUUACUGCAAGGUGUCCUUAGGCUGUGGAAAAAACAGGGAUGAGGAGGAACGACUUCCA
rnacentral:lncRNA from 1 species